CCAGAAUAGCCUGCUUGACGCGACAACUCGAAUCGCCGUAAAGCAACGCUUUUGCGCCUCGCCACUUCACGACUUGUAGAGCUCUUUACGGCUCUGCGGCGGACCUGCCAGAUUGAUCGGGGGAACCUGAGUAAACUGCGUGACUUGCCCACUGGGAUUCCCGCCUCCCGCCCAGGUUCCGCCCCACCCUUCCUCUAGGGAAACCUCCUGGGCCACACCCUAGGCCACCUGUCACGCCCUACUGGGUGUGAAGAGUAGAGGAGCCCAGCGGAGGGAGAGAAGUAAAACCCUUAGACUCUGGAAAUGGGAAAACCCACUCUAAUCUGUUAACGAUUAAAUCCAAUCAUCCAAUCUUGAAUGAAAGCGGAGGACACACCUGACGCUACGCCUUUCCAAGCUGUAGUUUCUUAAGGCUGUAAAUUAAGGACCAUGUUAUUAAUAAUACAAAUCUCCUAGUGUAAUUGCGAAGAUUAUGAGAUUAUACGUGGGAAUCAACUAGCAGCGACCUACACAAACUCCUCCUCCCCCUCCCUGCGUCCUCCUCCUCCUUCUUUUUGUUCAGGUCAGAGUGCAGUGGCACGAUCUUGGCUCACUGCAACCUCUGCCUCCCAGGUUCAAGCGAUUCUCCUGCCUCAGCCUCCCGAAUAGCUGGGAUGACAGGCAUGUGCCACUGUGCCUGCUUAGGUGGAUCAUAGCCUACCUUGACUCCAGAUGGUUAUAAAAACACAAAGCCAGCCCAGCAAGUGUCCAAGGAGGCAGAAGAACAUCAGGAAAGCUGGUAACUGUGCAUUCAGGCUGGUUUAGAACAGGUCUGUUCUUCCCUCCACCCAAAGUCUGGAUGAUUACCACAGAAGACUGCAGCUCUUGGAAAUGGGAUGGCAAUGUGGGAUUACUGGAAGUUAACCUGAGAGGCGUAUGCUUUUCAUAGGAGGGCCAACUGGGGCUAGUAGAGCUCAGAUUGUACCACAAGCAGCUUUCUACCAUGAGGCUCAUCCACUCUUCUGGGCUUCCCGUGACACUACUCAGAUUUUUCCAGGAUGCCUAAAUGUUUUAUUAUAUUCACAACUUUGAGGCAAUGCAGAAACUGCAGAUGCUUAUCCACAGACUGUUGCAUCAGCAUCAUCUGGUGAUGCUGGUCUCUGGGUCUCUCCCUAGAGGUAUUUAACAAAAUGGAGAGAGUUGUUGGGAAAUUUAUAUUUUUAACAAGUGUCUCUGGGUGCUACUUUUGAUGUAUAGCCAACUUAGGGAACCAUUAGAUGAAGGCAUUAAAACAGCACUUUGCAAUAUGGUAGCCAUUAGUCACAGUGACUACUGAGCACUUGAAAUGUGGUUAUCUAAAUUGAGAUAUGCUGUAAAUGUAAAAUAUACUCUGGAUUUCAAAGGUUUAGUAUAUUUAAAAAAAGAAUGUAAACGAUCUCAAUAACACUUUUAUACUGAUUACAUGUUGAAGUGAUAUUAUUUUGGAUAUAUUAUGUAUAUUAUUAACAUUAAUUUCACUUGUUUCAUUUCAUUUGUUUUCUCAUUUCCAACUAUCAAACAAAAAACUUGCUAAUAUCUACUAAUUUAAAGUUUUCUACAAAGUUGUUUUUUCAUUGUAUGAAGACUUGAAAGAAAACUACAUAGUAUUUUUUGGAAUGUAUUGAAUUCUGUGGGAAACAUCUGGGAACAAAAAUUAUUUUAACUAUGAUUGUUUUAUAUAGUGUCUUAGAAUUUGUAUUAUUGGUUAAAGGAGAACCUCUUUUAUACACUGAAAAUGUUCAAGUGAAAAAAUUAAAUGUAAUAGCAAUAAAGUUUAUAUGAAGUUUUUAUUUACUAGUACUUGAGCAAGAUCUUUAUCCCUUCAUGAAGAACGUCCUUUUCAUGAAACUGGGUUUCAACUGUUUCCUUCAAGAACUUUAUAAAAAGUUUGCCGUGCGCUGUGGCUCAUGCCUGUAAUCCCAGCGCUUUGGGGAGCAGAGGUGUGUGGAUCACUUGAGUUCAGGAGUUCGAGAACAGCCUAGCCAAUGUUGUGAAAACUACACCAAAAAUACAAAAAUUAGCUGGGUGUGGUGGUAAGCGUCUGUAAUCCCAGCUACUCAAGAGGCUGAGGCAGGUGAAUCACUUGAACCUGGGAGGCAGAGGUUGCAGUGAGCCGAGAUCACACCACUGCUGGGUGCUAGAGCAAAAGAGUAUCUCAAAAGAAAAAAAAGAAGUGAAAAGUUUUCUUGCAAUUCAACUGUAAAUUUGUUCUGAACUAGAUACCUAAUAAAAUGCAACUCUUUUUAA